UAGGGAAUCUUCCACAAUGGACGAAAGUCUGAUGGAGCAACGCCGCGUGAGUGAUGAAGGGUUUCGGCUCGUAAAACUCUGUUGUUGGAGAAGAACGGGUGUCAGAGUAACUGUUGACAUCGUGACGGUAUCCAACCAGAAAGCCACGGCUAACUACGUGCCAGCAGCCGCGGUAAUACGUAGGUGGCAAGCGUUGUCCGGAUUUAUUGGGCGUAAAGCGAGCGCAGGCGGUUUUUUAGGUCUGAUGUGAAAGCCUUCGGCUUAACCGGAGAAGUGCAUCGGAAACCGGGAGACUUGAGUGCAGAAGAGGACAGUGGAACUCCAUGUGUAGCGGUGAAAUGCGUAGAUAUAUGGAAGAACACCAGUGGCGAAGGCGGCUGUCUGGUCUGCAACUGACGCUGAGGCUCGAAAGCAUGGGUAGCGAACAGGAUUAGAUACCCUGGUAGUCCAUGCCGUAAACGAUGAGUGCUAAGUGUUGGAGGGUUUCCGCCCUUGCAGUGCUGCAGCUAACGCAUUAAGCACU
rnacentral:rRNA from 1 species